rnacentral:rRNA from 1 species
AAGUCGAACGGGGUAGCAAUACCUAGUGGCGGACGGGUGAGUAACGCGUGAGAAUCCACCUUUAGGAUGGGGACAACAAGAGGAAACUCUUGCUAAUACCCAAUGAGCCGAAAGGUAAAAGUAAUUCGCCUAAAGAGGAGCUCGCGUCCGAUUAGUUAGUUGGUGGGGUAAAGGCCUACCAAGGCAGCGAUCGGUAGCUGGUCUGAGAGGAUGAGCAGCCACACUGGGACUGAGACACGGCCCAGACUCCUACGGGAGGCAGCAGUGGGGAAUUUUCCGCAAUGGGCGAAAGCCUGACGGAGCAAUACCGCGUGAGGGAGGAAGGCUCUUGGGUUGUAAACCUCUUUUCUUAGGGAAGAAACCUGACGGUACCUAAGGAAUCAGCAUCGGCUAACUCCGUGCCAGCAGCCGCGGUAAUACGGAGGAUGCAAGCGUUAUCCGGAAUUAUUGGGCGUAAAGCGUCCGUAGGUGGCAUUUCAAGUCUGCCGUUAAAGCCCGAAGCUUAACUUUGGAAAAGCGGUGGAAACUGAGAAGCUAGAGUGCGGUAGGGGUAGAGGGAAUUCCCAGUGUAGCGGUGAAGUGCGUAGAGAUUGGGAAGAACACCGGUGGCGAAAGCGCUCUACUGGGCCGCAACUGACACUGAUGGACGAAAGCUAGGGGAGCGAAAGGGAUUAGAUACCCCUGUAGUCCUA